GAAAUUUGGACAAAGGGCGAAUGCCUGAGCCAGCAAUGCGGCGUGCAGGGUGAAAGCCUCCGGGUUGUAAACUGCUUUUGUACGGAACGGAAAGCUUUGGGUUAAUACCCUGGUGUCCUGACGCUACAGCAAGAAGAACCACCGGCUUACUACGUGCCCGCCGCCGCGGUAAUACGUAGGGUGCAAGCGUUCAUCGGAAUUACUGGGCCUAAAGCGGGCGCAGGCGGUUUUGUAAGACAGAGGUGAAAUCCCCGGGCUCAACCGUGGAACUGCCGUUGUGACUGCGAGGCUAGAGUACGGCAGAGGGGGGUGGAAUUCGGCGUGUAGCAGUGAAAUGCGUAGAUAUGCGGAGGAACACCGAUGGCGAAGGCAACCCCCUGUGCCUGUACUGACGCUCAUGCACGAAGGCGUGGGGAGCAAACA
rnacentral:rRNA from 1 species